AUCCAGAUGACGAGUACCAAAUUGGACGAAAUGCGCAUCCUGGAU
rnacentral:hammerhead_ribozyme from 1 species